rnacentral:rRNA from 1 species
AAAACAACAAACCCCUAUUUAUAACCCCAAAUAUUCUAAUCACUCAUAAAACAAACCAUUUUACCCCCUUAGUAUAGGCGAUAGAAAAGGAAAUGUGGAGCAACAGAGAAAGUACCGCAAGGGAAAGCUGAAAGA